GACGAACGCUGGCGGCGUGCUUAACACAUGCAAGUCGAACGGUAAGGCCCUUCGGGGUACACGAGUGGCGAACGGGUGAGUAACACGUGGGUGAUCUGCCCUGCACUUCGGGAUAAGCCUGGGAAAAUGGGUCUAAUACCGGAUAGGACUCCUGCCUGCAUGGGUGGGGGUGGAAAGCUUUUGCGGUGUGGGAUGGGCCCGCGGCCUAUCAGCUGGAUGGUGGGGUGAUGGCCUACCAAGGCGACGACGGGUAGCCGGCCCGAGAGGGUGACCGGCCACACUGGGACUACGAUACGGCCCAGACUCGUACGGGAGGCAGCAGAGGGGAAUAUUGCACAAUGGGCGCAAGCCUGAUGCAGCGACGCCGCGUGGGGGAUGACGGCCUUCGGGUUGUAAACCUCUUUCAGCACAGACGAAGCGCAAGUGACGGUAUGUGCAGAAGAAGGACCGGCCAACUACGUGCCAGCCGCCGCAGUAA
rnacentral:rRNA from 1 species